rnacentral:lncRNA from 1 species
AUCAGAUGACAACAACGACGAGCGACUGCUAAAUAUCAGCCAAGCUAGAAUUGUACCACUGAGGAAUGGGUUGUACGCAUGCGUGGAGCCAGUGACCUAGUUUCUCAGCGGGAAAGUCGAAUUAUAAUUAUCACUGUGGUGAUCAGUACUCUGGCUGGAUUUCCGAAAUUUGUUGCCGAUAUUCUACCUAAAAACUGACCAAGGAUACAAAAACAAAAUUUGGAUUAACCAUUAAGCUGUGGAGAUAAGAUCAGCAGUUAGCCAAGGUAGCAGUCAAUCAGAUGGG